rnacentral:rRNA from 1 species
CUCGUAGGUGGUCUGCUACGUCCGCUGUGAAAACCUAGGGCUUAACCCUGGGCUUGCAGUGGAUACGGGCAGACUAGAGGUAGGUAGGGGAGAAUGGAAUUCCCGGUGUAGCGGUGAAAUGCGCAGAUAUCGGGAGGAACACCGGUGGCGAAGGCGGUUCUCUGGGCCUUACCUGACACUGAGGAGCGAAAGCGUGGGGAGCGAAACA